GCCUGGCUGGCUCAGUCGGUAGAGCAUGAGACUCUGGAUCUCGGGGUUGUGAAUUGGAGCCCCAUGUCUGGUC
rnacentral:tRNA from 1 species